rnacentral:rRNA from 1 species
GACGAACGCUGGCGGCGUGCUUAACACAUGCAAGUCGUACGGUAAGGCCCUUUCGGGGGUACACGAGUGGCGAACGGGUGAGUAACACACGAGUAACCAGCCCACAACUGUGGGUGAACGCUAGGAAACUGGUGCUAAUACUUGAUAUGUACUCCUGCUGCCUGGUGGGGGGUGGAAAGCACCGGGGGGUGGGGAGGGACGCACGGCCUACCUGGUUGGUGGUGGGGGAGGGGCCUUCCAAGGCAGGCACUGGUGGGCGGCCGGGGGGGGUGGACGGCCACCUUUGGACUGAGAUAAGGGCCAGAAUCCUACGGGGGGCAGCAGUUGGGAAUAUUGCACCAUUGGGGGGAGCCCGAUGCAGCAACGCCGCGUUGGGGGUGACGGGCUUCGGGUUGUAAACCGCUUUCCGCAGGGAAGGAGCUUUUUGUGACGGUACUUGCAGAAGAAGCACCGGCUAACUACGUG